AACGCACCUUGCGCUCCUUGGUAUUCCGAGGAGCAUGCCUGUUUGAGUGUCAUGAAACUCUCAACCAUCAACUUUUUUAUUAAGGCUGAUGGCUUGGACUUGAGCGCUGCUGGUUUUUACUAACCGGCUCGCUUGAAAUGAAUUAGCAGAUCCUUUUUGUAAUCGGUUCCACUCGACGUGAUAAGUAUUUCGCCGAGGACAUACGAAAGUAUGGCCGAGAUAAAGAAAGUCUUUAGAUCCGCUUCUAAUUCUUAGAUAGAGCUUGCUCUACUAAACCCCAUUUUAUGAUCUGGCCUCAAAUCAGGUAGGACUACCCGCUGAACUUAA
rnacentral:misc_RNA from 1 species